rnacentral:lncRNA from 1 species
GAACUUCCAUGACAAAACGAAAUGCUAGUUACCUACAGUGUGGCAACUGCUAAUUAAAAUAAUUAAAAAAAUCUAAAAAGUAUUUACUAGUGGGGCCAUGAACGACCAGAUCAAGAUAGAUCUGAUUUAAUGAUAGAAUCUGCUCUUCUAUGGAGUCCCCAGGAAAAACCAUUUUAGUAAUUAUAUCCUGGAGUGAGAAUCUUUUUUUUUAGCCAGUCUUUCACUUCCGCCUCUCCA